rnacentral:tRNA from 1 species
GGGUCCGUAGCUUAGCAAGGCAGAGCACCGGGCUUUUAACCCGGGGGUCAGGGGUUCAAUUCCCCUCGGACCCGCCA